rnacentral:rRNA from 1 species
UACGGGGGGGGCAAGCGUUGUUCGGAAUUACUGGGCGUAAAGCGCACGUAGGCGGACAUUUAAGUCAGGGGUGAAAUCCCGGGGCUCAACCCCGGAACUGCCUUUGAUACUGGGUGUCUUGAGUGUGGUAGAGGUGAGUGGAAUUGCGAGUGUAGAGGUGAAAUUCGUAGAUAUUCGCAGGAACACCAGUGGCGAAGGCGGCUCACUGGACCACAACUGACGCUGAGGUGCGAAAGCGUGGGGAGCAAACAGG